CCUACGGGGGCUGCAGUCGAGAAUCAUUCACAAUGGGGGAAACCCUGAUGGUGCGACGCCGCGUGGGGGAAUGAAGGUCUUCGGAUUGUAAACCCCUGUCAUGUGGGAGCAAAUUAAAAAGAUAGUACCACAAGAGGAAGAGACGGCUAACUCUGUGCCAGCAGCCGCGGUAAUACAGAGGUCUCAAGAGUUGUUCGGAAUCACGGGGCGUAAAGCGUGCGUAGGCUGUUUCGUAAGUCGGGUGUGAAAGGCGCGGGCGCAACCCGCGGACGGCACAUGAUACUGCGCGACUAGAGUAAUGUAGGGGGAACCGGAAUUCUCGGUGUAGCCGU
rnacentral:rRNA from 1 species